GACGAACCGUGCGAACGUUAUUCGGAAUCACUGGGCUUAAAGCGCGUGUAGGCGGGCCGGCGCGUCGGCCGCUGAAAUCCCCCGGCUCAACCGGGGAAGCGGCGCCGAUACGGCCGGCCUGGAGGGACGUAGGGGGGCUGGAACUUCCGGUGGAGCGGUGAAAUGCGUUGAGAUCGGAAGGAACGCCCGUGGCGAAAGCGAGCCCCUGGACGUCUACUGACGCUGAGACGCGAAAGCCAGGGGAGCGAACGGG
rnacentral:rRNA from 1 species